AUGGAGCAAAUGCAUUUUCUCUGCCUCCAGAAUUUCAACAACGGCUCAGAAAACAAAUUUACCAUGAAAAUGCAGAGCAGUCCAGCCUUGUACAGACAAGGAGAAGUGACCUCACUGCAGGUGAGCAGAGCCCCGACGGGCCUCCCGCUCUGCCGCCCACACCGGGGCCACUGCCACCAAGGAAACCCAAGGACAGGCUGGCCCAAGUGUCGGGCCUUGGACGGCCCACGCACCGCUCCCUGCGGGCCCCGCCGCCUCACCCGGAGCUGGAAGGUGUGCUGGGCGGGCUGCCCUCCCCGCCGGUGGCCCUUUUGGUUUGGGGCACGGCCUGACCUUGGACCUGGCGCCGUCCCCUUUCCUGCAGGUGCAGCCGCUCAGACGCCGGAGCAGCUGCCUGUCAGCGCCACCACACCAGGGGUCGGCACGCAGACCCGGCUCGAGCACAGCCCGGAAUCACCGUCCCACGGCCCCAGGGACCGCCACGGGCUGGAAAGGGAGACCAGCAUGUGUCCAAUCACCCCACACAGACCCUUCCCCGUGACCCCCAGAGCCUCCCAACCCUCACCCCGGGCACCGUGGAGGCCCUGCCCAUGUGCCCUGGGGGUCCUCAACCGGCCCCUCCCCAGGUCAGGUGCUGGACAGCCCAGCAUGCAGCCUGUCCCUCCUCGCGGGCCCAGCGCCUGCUGCACCCGCCACACCCGCCCCCUCGCUGCUGCCAGAGGACUCGCAGGACCCUGGACCGGGCUAUUGAGCCUCAGCCACAGGCCUCAGCCCCAUAGGGCCCGAGGACGGACCCCACUCUACCCCACUCUACUCUACAGAGGGCCCGCCCGGAGUCCCCACACUCAGCUCUCCUGUUGCCCAGCUGGAGCGCGACAGGUGUCACCUGCCUGGGCCCUCACUGACCCGGAUCUCUAACUUGGAUCUCACACCAAAUUAAAUCCUAAAUGGACCAAAGAUGCAGACGUUUAAAUACAACCCUGGAGGUACUAGAACACAGCACAGGAAGAAUAUUGUGAGCUCACAAAGCCCAAAUCAUACAAAAUUAAUCACUUCACGUACUUCUGCAGGGCCAAACUGCCUUAAGCAAAGAUGAAAGUCAAAGGACAAAGGAAGAAAACUAUUUGCAAGUAUUUGGGGCUAAAGCCUCACUAUGCAAAAAGGCUGUACAAAUCAAUAAGACAAAGUCCAAGAACCCCAGGUCAAGGAUUAAAUAAUUUAUAGGGGGACGUCCCAGGGGCUCAGCGGUGGAGCGCCUGCCUUGGGCUCAGGGCAUGACCCCGGGGUCCCGGGAUCGAGUCCCGCGUUGGGCUCCCUGCGAGGAGCCUGCUUCUCCCUCUGCCUGUGUCUCUGUCUCUCUCUCUGCAUCUCUCAUGAAUAAAGAAAUUAAAUCUUUCUAAAAUUGCUUAUUU
rnacentral:lncRNA from 12 species